UCAAAUUUUUUCUUCUUCACCCGUCACUCCCUCUCUCCCAUUUCUCUCUCUCAUUUUCUCUUCAUUUCCACCAUUUUUGGACUUAGAAAGCUUGCUUUUCUCUAGUUUCUUCCCAUAAAUUUCUUAAACUCCAACACAAAAUCACACUCUUAUACCUAGAUACAUCACUUGGGAGUAAAAAGGAGAAGAAAAACUUGAAGAAAAAAAAAAGGAAAAAGGGAGUGAAAUUGAAGAAUUGGAAUUCAAGUGAAGCUGAAAAAGACUUGAAAAUUCGAAGAGACUGAGUCAAGGCUUAGAGGCGACUCAAGUCAGAUAAGAGCAAGGAGAAAGCAGCAGAGUGAGCUGCUAUCGAAUUGUGGACCCCUGAACAUUUUGUACGGGUAUUAUUUUAUACCCUUGUAAAUAAUUUUGAUGUAAAUAUAGAAAUGUUGUAUGUAUCAAUGUAAGUCGAGCAG